AUUGAACGCUGGCGGCAGGCCUUACACAUGCAAGUCGAACGAGUGGCCGAAGGGUUAGUAAUUUCUUGGAAACUGCCUGAUUGAGGGGGAUAACCCCUUGAAACGGUAGCUAAUACCGCCUUCCUUCUGAUGUGCCCAGUUGGUCUUAGCUUGUUGGUGGGGUAACGGCUCACCAAGGCGACGAUCCCUAGCGGGUCUGCGAGGAUGACCAGCCACACUGGAACUGAGACACGGUCCAGACUCCUACGGGAGGCAGCAGUGGGGAAUAUUGCACAAUGGGCGCAAGCCUGAUGCAGCCAUGCCGCGUGUAUGAAGAAGGCCUUCGGGUUGUAAAGUACUUUCAGCGGGGAGGCGUUACCCGCAGAAGAAGCACCGGCUAACUCCGUGCCAGCAGCCGCGGUAAUUC
rnacentral:rRNA from 1 species